UUUUAUUUUGUUUUGUUCUCAAAUGUGUAUUUGUCUGCAUGAUCAGAUCAUUUGGAGUUUUCGAGAUGGAUGAUUUCGUACCUCGGCGUAUGCACUUGAACAUCCAUCCACUUCAAAAUUCUUGUAUGUAUUCUCCUCUGAGUUAUGCUGCAUAUGUUUAUUGCUUUUUCCCAAGCUCCACACCUUUCCUUGGACAUGUUUGCAUCUGCAAGCAGGGUGUCGCUCUCAAGAAUCAUUUGUGUGUAUGUCUCCCAUGGCUUUUCUAGUGUGGUGUUGUUCAUGGUUUCAUUUUGUGUGUCCAUGCCACUAUGCAUUUCAUUGCAUUCAUCACUUGCUGAUUCUCCUUGUGAGUUACGUAUCUGUUCCAUCAUCAGGUCCAUGUAUCCCCCCUGCAUAAUCAUCAAGGCUCAAUCAAAUAUUCAUAUUAUAUUUUCUGUGAUAGGUGCAUAUUAUUUUGUGUGUGUGUAGGGUGGCUGGGGUUUUCGUGCAUUUUUUAUUACCUGGUUUGACACAUAUGGGAACGACAUUUGUGUGCACAUCUGACUGCUUGGUGAUUGUGUUGUUCCACUCUGAGUCAAAGAGGUUCCAGCCAUCUAUAUUUUUGUUUAUGCAUUCAUAAAAAUCACAAAAGUCAGUUUUCAAACAUGUGAAUAGAUUAUCUUUCUCAAUUGUAAUUUCUAGAAUUGAGAUAUAGCUACCUGACUACUUCCAAUUAUUCGCAAUAUAUACUGUUGAAAAUUGUUGAUUUCAUCUUGCGAGAAUAUGUUAUUUUCUCUGACAGUCUUGGUAGUGUCAUAUUCAUGAACCUGCAAAAGGGAAACAAAAUUAUGAUCAGUUGUUUUUUUUGCAUUGGCACAUAAAUUUAGGUGCCCAUGGCUUUGUUCUAUAUGAUGUUUUUUUGCAGCAAAGGCAGUAGAUCACUUUUUUGGGGUGAUGUAGGAGGAGCUUUUUUAAGAGGCCAUGCAUGUUAUGACUUUUUUUUGAAUUUGUUUUUGCAGACCUUGUUUAUGGACAUAUAGCUAGACGAAAUGCAGGUAUGUUACCGCUGCUUUUUUAUCUCUUAUCAUUGUCCUAUGCAAUUCAUUUUUUUGUUGUGGCAGCUGUUGUGCUCUAGUCAUCAAAUAAGAAGGCAUAGGUUGAGAAGAUCAUGGAGACCAAGCAAGUUUGGAGGCGGAGGCGUAGGGGCAAGUUCAUGUAAUAGGUUUGUUUUUUGUGUGGCAGAUCAUCAUUGGAUGGCUAAUGGAUAGUGUCAGGUUUCUCUCCAAUUGCAGAGGUAAUACAAUCAAAGGUUCAGGGUUAGCCAAAAGUUGAUGUAUAUAUCUAUCUUUUUUUGAAGUUCCUGUGUAAUUUAAGAUGUAUGUGUUUUGGCGAUUUUGCUUUUUUGGCAUCGUGGGGGAUUUUUAAUUGGAGUCUAAUUGGAGGAGGGGAUGACAAAUCUAAUAUGAGUUAUUUUUACUUUUCUGUCUGAUUCAUGUGUUUGUAGGUUAUUUUUACGUGGGUAGCACUGAUUGAAUGAGAGAAACAACAGUAAAAUGAGGGCGUGGGGCUCAGAUGUGAGUACCUUUUCAAUUUCUUUGCCUCCACUGUCUCCUCCCAUCUUUUUUUGUACUUUUUGUGCCCUUCUUUUCCUUGUAUCUUUUGAUUGCGUUUGCUCCUAGGGUUGGUUUUGGGGUUGCUGGCGGCUGGGGAGUAGGGGGAGUUGAUCGUGCUUUUUUUUCUGUGUAAAGGAUUUAGGGUUUUUUUGUGGCCUUUUGUUUUUGGACCACUUUUUGUGCCACUUUUUUCUGUUGGGGAGUAUUGGGUUUGUGUUUUUUGUGGACUACGUACUUUUUAGGCCCACUUUUUAUCCUUUUUAUUUUUUGUUUUUAGUACUUUGUUUUGGGGCCCUUUUUGUAUCUCUUGUUGAGCCUUUUUUAUAUCUUCUUUGUUGGGCUUUUGUUUUUUAUUCCAAAGGUUCAAUUUUUUGCAGGGGGCUGCUCACCGGUUAUUGCUACUCUCUCACACACAUCUGUUCUUGCCACUCUCUCUCUCUCACACACACACCAGUUGUUUGUCUUUCUGUCUGUGCUGACGUGGGGUUGUUGCCCCUGUUCUCUGUCGUGAUUCGUGAAGCUGGUGGCGAGGAUUGUUGUAUCGAAC
rnacentral:lncRNA from 1 species